GACGAACGCUGGCGGCGUGCUUAAAACAUGCAAGUCGAACGGACUUCUCAUGAAGCUUGCGAUUGAGAAGUUAGUGGCGGACGGGUGAGUAACGCGUGGGCAACCUGCCCCUGAGCCCGGGAUAACAGUUCGAAAGGACUGCUAAGACCGGAUAUACUUGCGGUGAAGCAUUUCACUGCAAGGAAAGGGAACGCUCAGGGAUGGGCCCGCGUCCCAUUAGCUAGUUGGUGAGGUAACGGCCCACCAAGGCGACGAUGGGUAGCCGGCCUGAGAGGGUGAACGGCCACACUGGGACUGAGACACGGCCCAGACUCCUACGGGAGGCAGCAGUUGGGAAUCUUCGGCAAUGGGCGCAAGCCUGACCGAGCAACGCCGCGUGAGUGAUGAAGGUUUUCGGAUUGUAAAGCUCUGUCUUCCGGGACGAUAAUGACGGUACCGGAGGAGGAAGCCACGGCUAACUACGUGCCAGCAGCCGCGGUAAGCACGAGAGUA
rnacentral:rRNA from 1 species